rnacentral:rRNA from 2 species
ACGGGAGGCAGCAGUGGGGAAUAUUGCACAAUGGGGGAAACCCUGAUGCAGCAACGCCGCGUGAGUGAUGAAGUAUUUCGGUAUGUAAAGCUCUAUCAGCAGGGAAGAAAUUGACGGUACCUGACUAAGAAGCCCCGGCUAACUACGUGCCAGCAGCCGCGGUAAUACGUAGGGGGCAAGCGUUAUCCGGAUUUACUGGGUGUAAAGGGAGCGUAGACGGCAAGGCAAGUCAGAAGUGAAAUGCGGGGGCUUAACCCCUGAACUGCUUUUGAAACUGUUUAGCUAGAGUAUCGGAGAGGUAAGUGGAAUUCCUAGUGUAGCGGUGAAAUGCGUAGAUAUUAGGAGGAACACCAGAGGCGAAGGCGGCUUACUGGACGAUUACUGACGUUGAGGCUCGAAAGCGUGGGGAGCAAACAGGAUUAGAUACCCUGGUA